UGAACGCUGGCGGCAUGCUUUACACAUGCAAGUCGAACGGCAGCACGGACUUCGGUCUGGUGGCGAGUGGCGAACGGGUGAGUAAUACAUCGGAACGUGCCCAGUUGUGGGGGAUAACUACUCGAAAGAGUAGCUAAUACCGCAUGAGAACUGAGGUUGAAAGCAGGGGAUCGUAAGACCUUGCGCAACUGGAGCGGCCGAUGGCAGAUUAGGUAGUUGGUGGGAUAAAAGCUUACCAAGCCGACGAUCUGUAGCUGGUCUGAGAGGGUGGCCCCCCACAAUGGAACUGAAACACGGUCCAUACACCUACGGGUGGCAGCAGUAGGGAAUAUUAGUAAUGGGCGAAGGCCUGAACUAGCAACGCCGCGUGUGCGAAGAAGGCCUUCGGGUCGUAAAGCACUUUUUGAGAGGAUGAGGAAGGACGGUACUCUCAGAAUAAGUCUCGGCUAACUACGUGCCAGCAGCCGCGGUAACACGUAGGAGGCAAACGUUAUCCGGAUUUACUGGGCGUAAAGCGCGUGUAGGUGGUUUGGUAAGUAGGGCGUGAAAGCUCCUGGCUCAACUGGGAGAGGACGUUCUAAACUGCCAAGCUUGAGGAUGGUAGAGGGAGGUGGAAUUCCGGGUGUAGCGGUGGAAUGCGCAGAUAUCCGGAGGAACACCAGUGGCGAAGGCGGCCUCCUGGACCACUCCUGACACUCAGACGCGAAAGCUAGGGUAGCAAACGGGAUUAGAGACCCCGGUAGUCCUAGCCCUAAACGAUGUAGACUUGGCGUCGGUGGUUUAAUCGCCAUCGGUGUCGUAGCUAACGCGAUAAGUCUACCGCCUGGGGACUACGGCCGCAAGGUUAAAACUCAAAGGAAUUGACGGGUCCCCGCACAAGCAGCGGAGCGUGUGGUUUAAUUCGAUGCUACACGAAGAACCUUACCUGGGUUUGACAUAGAGGUAGUAGGGAAGCGAAAGCGGACCGACCCUUCGGGGAGCCUCUACAGGUGUUGCAUGGCUGUCGUCAGCUCGUGUCGUGAGAUGUUCGGUUAAGUCCGCUAACGAGCGCAACCCUCGCUGUGUGUUACAAGUGUCACACGGUACUGCCGAUAUUAAGUCGGAGGAAGGUGGGGAUGACGUCAAGUCAGCAUGACCUUUAUAUCCNNNGGCUACACACACGCUACAAUGGCCAGUACAAUGGGUUGCCAAGCCGCGAGGCGGAGCCAAUCCUAAAAAGCUGGCCUCAGUUCAGAUUGCAGUCUGCAACUCGACUGCAUGAAGUUGGAGUUGCUAGUAACCGCAGGUCAGCAAUACUGCGGUGAAUACGUUCCCGGGGAU
rnacentral:rRNA from 1 species